AUGCAAAGAAGCUGUGGAACGAAGCUGAAGGCUCCCUCCGCCAAGCGGAGACCACUGCACCAGUGGUGGCUCAGCCGCGGGGGUCAUCAGCAGCUGUACUGGAGCCACCCGCGUAAAUUCGGCCAGGGUUCUCGCUCUUGUCGCGUCUGUUCAAACCGGCACGGUCUGAUCCGGAAAUAUGGCCUCAAUAUGUGCCGCCAGUGUUUCCGUCAGUACGCGAAGGAUAUCGGUUUCAUUAAGUUGGACUAAAUGAUCUUCCUUCAAAGGAUUAUCCAAGGCAUCUACUCAAUGAAAAACCAUGAUAGUUCUUUGUACAUAAAAUAACCAUUUGAAAAAAAAA